AAACAUCAUCAUCUUCUGUCGGACCUCUGCAUGGAUCUGUUUACUUAAUCAGUUCUCCUUUGGUUGUGUUUAUCCCAAAGAGUGAAGAUGGAUUUGAACUAUUCUGCAAAUGCUCCAAGCUGGCACAAUUCCAGCAUGUUCUGGAUUGCAGUAAGCAAGUGUGUCAACACAUCAAAACAUGUCUCUGUUUCAUGGACACAACAGCUGCUAGAAGAUAUUGAGAAAUGAAAUGUUGAACCGGGAAAACAUUAUUUACAUUUAGCAAGGUGUAGCAAUAUUGCAACAUACCUUAGAGAAGAAUAAGACAAGAACAUCAAUGGACAGAUACUUGAACCUAUAUGGACCAAAACUCAUUAAGGUCAGAACCAGUGAUUUUUUUUUUUUUCCCUUAAAAAAACAGUGGAAAUAGCAAGUUUAUUUCAAAACAGCUUAUACUCUUUGUGUUUCUAGUAACUUUAAUAUCCACUAGGAUCCAUUAUUCCAGAGCGUAAGAGCUGCAAAGGGAACUUGACUAAAAGGAAGAGCUGUUUCCAUUGUUAUCUUUGGGAAACAUCAGAGAUACCAGAAAAAAAUGCUGAAGAUUAUUUUUUAAAUAACUGUAUAAUUGAAUGAAAAUUGGAAAUUUUCUCAUAGAAAAAGGUAUUUAAAAGGCAGAAUUUUACCAUUCAAAGUCUUAAUCAUCUUAUUCUACCUCCUCCUCCUUUUAAAAUUAUUUCUGUUUUUAUUUCCAAAGGGAAGGAAAUCAUCAUACAUCUAUUUGUGUAUUUGUAGACAGUCAAUACAGAUAUAUGUAUUUACAGAUAGAGAAGCACGUGUCUGUGAGUGGGCCAGCAUACGUAUUUAGACACACAGAAAUAUAUAUCUAUAUACAUGUAUGCUCUUCCAUGUAUAUGCCUGUGUAUGUGUAGAGUUUUAAUCGGAUGAACUCCAGGCAUGUUCUCUUGCCACCUGAUAUGGACCAAUAUGUAAUACAUAAUGUAAGACUAGGCACACAAUAAGGAGAAGGGUAAUUCAGUGUAAUAUUACUUGGCUAAAUAUGGCAUAUUAUAUAUACAAUAAAUGCAUUUUUUGAAUUAAGGCGUAUAUAUAU
rnacentral:lncRNA from 1 species